rnacentral:rRNA from 1 species
GAUGAACGCUAGCGGCAGGCUUAAUACAUGCAAGUCGAGGGGCAGCAUGAUUGUAGCAAUACAAUUGAUGGCGACCGGCAAACGGGUGCGGAACACGUACACAACCUCCCAAUAAGUGGGGAAUAGCCCAGAGAAAUUUGGAUUAAUACCCCGUAACAUAACGAUGUGGCAUCACAUUGUUAUUAUAGGUUUUUCGCUUAUUGAUGGGUGUGCGGCUGAUUAGAUAGUUGGCGGGGUAACGGCCCACCAAGUCUACGAUCAGUAGCUGAUGUGGGAGCAUGAUCAGCCACACGGGAACUGCGAAACGGGCCCGAAUCCUACGGGAGGCAGCAGUAAGGAAUAUUGGACAAUGGACGCAAGUCUGAUCCAGCCAUGCCGCGUGAAGGAUUAAGGUCCUCUGGAUUGUAAACUUCUUUUAUAAGGGACGAAAAAAGGCUUUUCUAAGUCGUCUGACGGUACCUUAUGAAUAAGCACCGGCUAACUCCGUGCCAGCCGCCGCCGUAAUAC